rnacentral:rRNA from 1 species
AACGAACGCUGGCGGCAUGCCUAACACAUGCAAGUCGAACGAGACCUUCGGGUCUAGUGUCGCACGGGGGCGUAACGCGUGGGAACCUUCCCUUAGGUUCGGAAUACCUCCCCGAAAGGGGUGCUAAUACCGGAUCAUGUCUUCUGACCAAAGAUUUAUCGCGCUUGGUGGGGCCCUCGUUGGAUUAGAUAGUUGUGAGGGUAAAAGCCUACCAAGGCGACGAUUCAUAGCUGGGCUGAGAGGAUGAUUAGCCACACUGGGACUGAGACACGGCCCAGACUCCUACGGGAGGCAGCAGUGGGGAAUAUUGGACAAUGGGCGAAAGCCUGAUCCAGCAAUGCCGCGUGAGUGAUGAAGGCCUUAGGGUUGUAAAGCUCUUUUACCCGGGAUGAUAAUGACAGUACCGGGAGAAUAAGCUCCGGCUAACUCCGUG